rnacentral:rRNA from 1 species
GACGAACGCUGGCGGCGUGCUUAACGCAUGCAAGUCGAAGGGAAAGGCGCUGCUUUUGUGGGGUGCUCGAGUGGCGAGCGGGUGUGAAACACGUGAGUAACCUGCCCAGGACUGGGGGAAAACGUGAGGAAACUGGGGCUAAUAGCGGAAAGGAGCGCCUGUGGCAUGGUGGGGGUUGGAAAGUUUCGGCGGUGGGGGAUGGAGUCGCGGCUUAUCAGCUUGUUGGUGGGGUAGUGGCUUACCAAGGAUUUGACGGGUAGCCGGCCUGAGAGGGUGACCGGCCACAUUGGGACUGUGAGACGCCGCAGACUCCUACGGGGGGCAGCGGUGGGGAAUAUAGUACACUGGGCGGACGCCUGUUGUAGCAACGCCGCGUGCGGAAUAACGGCCUUCGCGUUGUAAACAGCGUUCGCCGGUGACGAGGCGUGAGUGACGGUACUGGGUAAAGAAGCACCGGCUAACUACGUG